CCUACGGGAGGCAGCAGUGAGGAAUAUUGGUCAAUGGGCGCAAGCCUGAACCAGCCAAGUCGCGUGAGGGAUGACGGCCCUACGGGUUGUAAACUUCUUUUAUAAGGGAAUAAAGUGAGGCACGUGUGCCGUUUUGUAGGUACUUUAUGAAUACGGCUCGGCUAACUCCGUGCCAGCAGCCGCGGUAAUACGGAGGAACCGAGCGUUAUCCGGAUUUAUUUGGUUGAAAGGGAGCGUAGGGGGGUUGUUAAGUCCGUUGUGAAAGUGUGAGGCCUAACCGGAAGAUUGCAAUUGAUACUGGAAGCCUUGAGUGGAGGAGAGGUAGGCGGAAUUCGUGGUGUAGCGGUGAAAUGCUUAGAUAUCACGAAGAACUCCGAUUGCGAAGGCAGCUUACUAGACUGCAACUGACAUUGAGGCUCGAAAGUGUGGGUAUCAAACAGGAUUAGAUACCCCGGUAGUC
rnacentral:rRNA from 1 species